GAUGAAGAACGUAGCGAAAUGCGAUAAGUAAUGUGAAUUGCAGAAUUCAGUGAAUCAUCGAAUCUUUGAACGCACAUUGCGCCCCUUGGUAUUCCGAGGGGCAUGCCUGUUCGAGCGUCAUUAUAACCCCUCAAGCUCAGCUUGGUGUUGGGGCCUGCUGCACUGGCAGCCCUUAAAAUCAGUGGCGGCGCCAUCUGGCUCUAAGCGUAGUAAUUCUUCUCGCUAUGGAGUCCUGGUGGAUGCUUGCCAUCAACCCCCAAUUUUUCUAUGGUUGACCUCGGAUCAGGUAGGGAUCCCCGCUGAACUUAAGCAUAUCAAUAAGCGGAGGA
rnacentral:misc_RNA from 1 species